CCAAACAAGGACAUGUAGGCCGGCUUCCACUGGGAGUAGUUUCAAUGCUGCACUCCUAUAGGGGAGAUUUCUGAUUGGGCUUACACUGGUAAUACUUCACAUCAAGGAGCUACAGUGUUCAAGCCAUUGAAAGUACUGCUGAGGUAUGUACUGUACGUGUCCGCGUGUCAGAGCAGUUUACCAGACUGGAUAGCUAUUGUAUUCCUGCUUCCAGUUGUGUAAUUGUCACGUUCCUGACCUGUUUUAUGUUAUUUUUGUAUGUGUUUAGUUGGUCAGGGCGUGAGUUGGGGUGGGCAUUCUAUGUUUUGUGUUUCUAUGUUUAGGUCACUUGUAAUUAGCCUUAUAUGGUUCUCAAUCAGGGACAGGUGUUUGACGUUUUCCUCUGAUUGAGAACCAUAUAUAGGUUGGCUGUUCACACUGUUUGUUUGUGGGUGAUUGUCUUCCGUAUCUGUGUUUGUUGCACCAUACAGGACUGUUUCGGUUUGUUCGUUUAUGUAUGUAGUCUGUUUCCUGUUCGUGCGUUCUUCGUCUAUUGUAAGUUCUCAAGUCAGGUCUGUCUACAUUGUUUAUUUGUUUUGUAGUUUAUUCAAGUGUUUUUCGUGUUCGUCUUCGUCUUUCAAUAAUUUCAUUAUAUAUUUACAACCCGCUGCAUGUUGGUCCUCCGAUCCUUCUCUCCCCGUCCGAGGAGGAGGAUGAACUAGACACCUGUUACAGUAAUAUUGUGUAGUAGUGUAGCAUUGUGUAGUAUUGUAGUAUUGUGCAGUAUUGUGGAGUAUUGGAAUAGUGUGUAGUAUUGAAUAGUAUGGUGUAGUAGUGUAGUAUUGUGUACUAGUGUAGAGUAGUAUAGUAUUGUAAUGUAGUGUAGUAUUGUGAAGUAUUAUGUAGUGGGGCUGUUACAUCUGCUUCUGCCACGCCCUCUACUGCUCAUCCUGUGUCUCCUUGACCUGCCGCCACUCCCCAGUGCUCUCUCCCUCUCUCUCUCUCUCUCUCUCUGUGAGAUUGUGUGGGCGGAGACAGGUGUGCUGGAGUCAGAGCCGAUCACCACCAGCUGCAACCAGUUCCAUAUUCAAGACCUCUACAAAUACUCAGUCCUGCCACUUCCACGCUGCCAGAUCGUAAUUUCUGCUCAUUCCGUUUGCUCUGACUCUGGUCCCUGUCUCCAGUCCCACGUCUCGUCAUCCUGCUACUCUGUCCUGGAUUCCCCACUCUACAACUCCCUUGGAUUCCCCUCCGGACCUGCUUACCUUGUCUCAACCCCUCUCGCUCCAGCCUCAGCCUCCGGACCUGCUUACCCUGUCUCAACCCCUCUCACUCCAGCCUCAGCCUCCGCACCUGGUUUCCUGCAACCCGCCCGAGCUUCCCCUGAUCUGCACUCCAUCUUCCCCCUGUGUUUCAAUUAAUACCUUGAUUACUUCAUCCCAGUCUCCUCGUCUGAGUCUGCUCUUGGGUUUCCCUGUUCCACUUCACCUAACAAGGACCUAGUAUUGUGUUAUUAAUACAGAGCUGUGUGUUGAGUCUUACCAUUGAGGCGAGGACAGGUAGGAAGAGAGUGGCAGUGGCCACAUUACUGGUGCACUCUGUGAAGAUGGCGAUCAGCAGACACAGGAUGAUAGCGAUGGCCCAGGGUGGGAUGGUGUGGAGGGGAGUCAUCUGGUCCCCCAUCCACAUAGACAGACCUGACUCCUGCAAGAGCAUGUACAAAACCAUGCAAUCAGUGUCAAACAACCAUGGCACUCUUAUGGUGUCGGAUACAUAACCAGACUCACAUACAUCUACCCAUGUACAGGUACUGUAACUACCAAAAUAAAGGAAACACUUGAGUAAAUGAAGCAGGUGCUUCAAAACAGUUUUGGUUCCUGAAUUAAAUAAGCAAUUAACAUCCCAUCAUGCUUAGGGUCAUGUUUAAAAAUGCCCAGUUGUCCAUUAUUUUGGCUACCAUGGUUAGAAGAAGAGAUCUCAGUGACUUUGAAAGAGAGGUUUCAAAGGGGCAUACGGGUUUUAAAGUGUGUGUGUGUAUUUGUGUUUGUAUGUGUCUCAGUCACUGGAACUCAACCCAAUUGAACACUUCUGGGAGAUUCUGGAAUGGCGCCAGAGACAGUGUUUUCCACCACCAUCAACAAAACACCAAAUUAUUACAUUUCUUGUGGAAGAAUGGUGUCGCAUCCCUCAAAUAGCUUUCCAGACAAUAGGAGAAACUAUGCCAAGGCACAUUGUGCUCGUGGUGGCCUAACGCCCUAUUAAGACACUUUAUGAUGGUGUUUUGUUUCCUUUAUUUUGGCAGUUACCUGUACAUACUGUGUACAGUAUGCAAAAACAGAAAGGUUGAUUUUAGUGUAAUUUAGUGGCUAAGUAAGCAGCUAAUAUGUCACCUGUGUCAUCCCACAUUAUAUGCCCUAUGUUUCAUCGUACUUGGGAAGUGAACAGGGUGGAGCUGUGUUGACUAAUCAAAAAUGUCCCUUUGUCACAAUGAUCCUGAUGAAAUAUGGGAUGAUUCAGUUCUCCGUGAGGAUCUGACUUUUUUGGUUAAAAAGUUUCUGUGGAAAGCGAAUAAAGAUUAUACCGUAGAGAUAUAGAA